rnacentral:tRNA from 1 species
AUCGACGACUCGGCUUUGCCAUAAGCUCCCACACGAAUUGCUUGAUUCAUUGAAGAAGACGAUUGGGUCUGUAGCUCAGUUGGUUAGAGCGCGCCCCUGAUAAGGGUGAGGUCGGCAGUUCGAAUCUGCCCAGACCCACCAAUUGUUUGGGGCCAUAGCUCAGCUGGGAGAGCGCCUGCCUUGCACGCAGGAGGUCAGCGGUUCGAUCCCGCUUGGCUCCACCAUUUACUGCGGUUGUUGCGAGUGUUGCAAUCAUUGUUGCCAAAGCUUAGAAAUGAGCAUUCCACCGAAACGGUGCCUGAAUGUUGAUUUCUGAUCUUUAUCAGAAUCGUUCUUUAAAAAUUUGGGUAUGUAAUAGAAAGUUAGACUGUGAACCACUUUCACUGGUGGCAUCACAGGCUAAGGUAAAAUUUGUGAGUGAAUUGCAAAUUUUCGGCGAAUGUCGUCUUCACAGUAUAACCAGAUUGCUUGGGGUUAUAU